UAAGGAAUAUUGGUCAAUGGACGAAAGUCUGAACCAGCCAUCCCGCGUGCAGGAUGAAAGCCCUAUGGGUUGUAAACUGCUUUUAGCAGAGAAGAAAAGCUUUCAUUAAUGAGAGUCUGACGGUAUCUGCAGAAUAAGCACCGGCUAACUCCGUGCCAGCAGCCGCGGUAAUACGGAGGGUGCGAGCGUUAUCCGGAAUUACUGGGUUUAAAGGGUGCGUAGGCGGAGUAUUAAGUCAGUGGUGAAAUCU
rnacentral:rRNA from 1 species